rnacentral:rRNA from 1 species
CCUACGGGGGGCUGCAGUGGGGAAUAUUGGACAAUGGGGGGAACCCUGAUCCAGCCAUGCCGCGGGUGUGAAGAAGGCCCUCGGGUUGUAAAGCACUUUCAGUGAGGAAGAACGCCUGGUGGUUAAUACCCAUCAGGAAAGACAUCACUCACAGAAGAAGCACCGGCUAACUCCGUGCCAGCAGCCGCGGUAAUACGGAGGGUGCGAGCGUUAAUCGGAAUUACUGGGCGUAAAGCGCGCGUAGGUGGCUUGAUAAGCCGGUUGUGAAAGCCCCGGGCUCAACCUGGGAACGGCAUCCGGAACUGUCAAGCUAGAGUGCAGGAGAGGAAGGUAGAAUUCCCGGUGUAGCGGUGAAAUGCGUAGAGAUCGGGAGGAAUACCAGUGGCGAAGGCGGCCUUCUGGACUGACACUGACACUGAGGUGCGAAAGCGUGGGUAGCAAACAGGAUUAGAUACCCGGGUAGUC